UUUGUACUCCCUCCGUCCCAAAAUUCUUGUCUUACAUUUGUUUAGAUACGGAUGUAUCUAGUAGAUACAUCCGUAUCUAAACAAAUGUAAGACAAGAAUUUUGGGAUGGAGGGAAUACUAC
rnacentral:pre_miRNA from 1 species